rnacentral:lncRNA from 1 species
UAACUUCCCGCGCCGAGGUCGGCUCUCGAACGAGAGCAGAGUCAUUCGAAACCCUAAUUCCGCUCCCAAUCUCCUCCGAAUCCAGACACCGAACCCUUCAUCGCAAUCGAAUCGAACUCCUCCUGCGGUCCGUGGAUGCGGCGGCGAUGGGAGGUCUUCGACGGUGACUUGGAACUGAGGGAUUUUCAUAAGCGGGAAGGCGGCCGCACCGACUGGCUUUGGAGCCCGGGGAUGAUGGCUUCUUGCAGCGGCAAUACGACUGAUAGGGUCGGUUGGAAUGGACCUUUCGACUCUGGAAUUUCUCGGUUUGUGUACCCCUCUACGCUUCAUUCUUUGUUUCAUGAAUGGCUUAGAUUGGAAUGUAGAUGCAUAUGAUGUGAAGGGAACGCGAUCACUGGAACUAUGCCCGUACCUGUUCCGGUCUUGAAGUUUUUGGGGCAAAG